rnacentral:rRNA from 1 species
AUUGAACGCUCGCGGGAUGCCUUACACAUGCAAGUCGAACGGAGUGGCGCCCGGGUGGGUAAUGUAGCGGAACGUGCCCCGUGGCGGGGGAUAACUACGCGAAAGCGUAGCUAAUACCGCAUACUAUUGGAGCUGCCGAUAUCCGCUUAGCUGGUUGGUGGGGUAACGGAUCACCAAGGCGACGAGCCAGAGCUGGUUUGAGCGGACGACCAGCCACACUGGGACUGAGACACGGCUCAGACACCGACGCGAGGCAGCAGUGGGGAAUUGGGGACAAUGGGGGAAGCCCUGAGCCAGCCACCCCGCGUGUGCGAUGAAGGACGUGGGGUUGUAAAGCACUGUUGGCAGGAAAGCGGUACCGGCAGAAUAAGCACCGGCUAAAUACGUGCUAGCAGCCGCGGUAAUAC